GGGGGGGGGGGGGGGGGGGGGGGGGGGGGGCGGGGGGGGGGAGCGGGCGAGGGGCUGGCUCCUCUGGCGUUAGCGGCGGACGGGUGGGUAGCACGUGGCUACCCUACCUAUCAGACUGUGAUAACUUCGGGAAACCGGAGCUACUACGGGAUAAUAUAUUGAGCAGCAUGGUUCAAUAGUGCAAUACGUGUUUUCUCUCACUUAUAGCUUGAUCCGCGCCUCCUUAGCUAGUUGGUCAGGUAACGGCUUACCAAGGCAACGAUGCUUAGCCGACCUGAGAGGGUGAUCUGCCACACGGGAACUGAGACACGGUCCAGACUCCUACGGGAGGCAGCAGUAGGGAAUCUUCCGCAAUGGGCGAAAGCCUGAUGGAGCAACGCCGCGUGAGUGAUGAAGGUCUUCGGAUCGUAAAACUCUGUUAUUAGGGAAGAACAAAUGUGUAAGUAACUAUGCACGUCUUGACGGUACCUAAUCAGAAAGCCACGGCUAACUACGUG
rnacentral:rRNA from 1 species